rnacentral:tRNA from 1 species
UCCCUGGUGGUCCAGUGGUUAAGACCCUGAGCUCCCAAGGCAGGGGGCCUGGGUUCAAUCCCUGUUAGGGAG